UGCUCAGUUGCUUCCUGUGACUUUCGCUGUCUAUGGGGAUACUCAGAGGUCCCACUGUUGAGCUCUUUCAGAAGCUAAUCCUCACCACUCCCUCACCCACCUUGAGGCAGGAAAGCUGUCAUUUAUCGUGAGAACAAGAGCAGCCAUGCGUUGAUUUUUCUGGAUUCUUUUUGGAUACUAUCCCAGCGCUAAUGAAGGCCCUUCCAAAGCGCUAAUGAGCUGGUGCCAGAAUCAGUUCCGUGGAAAACAAUAGCAGAGAGCGGCACACAGACAGCGUGUGGACCCGGAUAUGCACACACACAUCGGUAUUUGAAUUACUUGGAGAUGGGGACAGAGUUCUCUGGCGACCGUGCAACUGACUGCAAUCACCCUAAAGAGAAGCAUUUAGGAGCUAUAAAAUCUAAAUGCCCUGCCAUGCACCAUUACAUCGCACAGUUAUUCAAAUUUCGUAAAUUAAAUUAAAUAAUCUCAAAUAACUUGAUUUCGGGGCUUUAAAAAUUCAUCUCCAUGGUGCCCCGUAGUCAAUUUCCUUUAUUAUUGUUCAUCAAGUAGAAUUUAUGUUUUUUAUGAAUCAAAGUCCUCGCCUUCCUGGCGGGCCGCACGGCUUGCGGCUGCCCGGACCGAGGCGGAGGCUUGGUGCGCCAUCUACCGACCACUUACGGCACAGCGCCGGAGACCUCCCGCCGCGGGCUCCGGAGUUGGGGGAGCCGCCGCUGCGUGGAAAAAUCAUGGACCGGACGGUGCUCUUAGCUACCGUGCCAGCUAAUCCCUUGGGCUUUGUCCCUGUGGGCCAGCUUGAAAUGUCGGCGACAACCCAGAGCGCCUGGCUGCAAAGCCUCCACGUUUGGUCGCGUUCUGCGGCUCCUGCUCUUCCUUAUUAAAGCCCAGAUGAUCUAAUUGAGCUGCUGUUUGCUGUGAAUCCGGAAAGCCGGGCGAGGUGGCGCCUUCCUCUGCUCACGCACACGGCUGUUCGAAGGGGACAUCUUAUGUUUACAGACAGUGGCUGUUGGUGCCUGAAGAUCCUCAUGCUAAGGCAAUAAAUGAGAUUUUGCCAUGUGUUGUUGAUGCUUUACAUAUUUUAU